rnacentral:rRNA from 1 species
AACGUAGGAGGCAAGCGUUAUCCGGAUUCACUGGGCGUAAAGCGCAUGUAGGCGGUCCGGUAAGUCGGACGUGAAAGCUCCUGGCUCAACUGGGAGAGGCCGUUCGAAACUACCAGACUCGAGGGCAGUAGAGGGAGGUGGAAUUCCGGGUGUAGCGGUGAAAUGCGUAGAUAUCCGGAGGAACACCAGUGGCGAAGGCGGCCUCCUGGACUGUCCCUGACGCUCAGAUGCGAAAGCUAGGGGAGCGAACGGG